CCUACGGGCGGCAGCAGUGGGGGAUAUUGCACAAUGGGGGAAACCCUGAUGCAGCGACGCCGCGUGGGUGAAGAAGUAUUUCGGUAUGUAAAGCCCUAUCAGCAGGGAAGAAAGAAGACGGUACCUGCCUAAGAAGCCCCGGCUAACUACGUGCCAGCAGCCGCGGUAAUACGUAGGGGGCGAGCGUUAUCCGGAUUCACUGGGUGUAAGGGGAGCGUAGACGGUAUGUCAAGUCAAGGGUGAAAUCCCCGCGCUCAACGUGGGAACUGCCUUUGAAACUGGCAAACUGGAGUGUGUGAGAGGAUAGUGGAAUUCCAGGUGUAGGAGUGAAAUCCGUAGAUAUCUGGAGGAACAUCAGUGGCGAAGGCGACUAUCUGGCACAUAACUGACGCUGAGGAGCGAAAGCGUGGGUAGCAAACAGGAUUAGAUACCCCAGUAGUC
rnacentral:rRNA from 1 species